rnacentral:lncRNA from 1 species
AGAAAAAUCACAGGCCAAGAUCCUUGCUUUUAUACUUGUAUUAAAUGCUAAUUGCCUUCAAAAAGCUCAUUUUUUCCUUCCUUCCUUCCUUCCUUCCUUUCUUUCUUUCUUUCUUUCUUUCUUUCUUUCUUUCUUUCUUUCUUUCUUUCUUUCUUCUUCUUUUUUUUUAACUUCUUCUGUUGAUAAGGGAUUUCAGGGAAGCUCUGGUUUUCUUCAUCUGGAAAACCUCAAUUCCUUUUUAUUAAUCUUCUUGUGCCUGUGGAAUAUCAGAAUUAAUCAUUGCUUAAGAAGCUUCUCUUUGAAUGUUUUGUGUCUUUCCUGAGCCAGACCACAAUGUACACAUUUUUAGAAAGAAGGGGGUUUAUAGUUUGUGUUCUAUGAAGGACACUUUCCUCUUUCUGUAAGCUUUCUAAGGAUGUGCAUUGAUGCAUUUUUUUAAAAGCUGUGUAGGAAAAGCAGGUUGUCUCAGGACACAUUUUAUGCCUGUGAAAGCUGCCAUACAGUUUACACUGCUGCGGGGGAACGGAGACAGGAGGUGUGUGCUGGGCUGGCAACCUGACCACUUCUAUAUGGUUCCAUGGAAAGAAAAGAGGUUUUGAUGAGAAUUGUACAGUUUGGACUGAUCAGUCAUCUGUAAGUGGGCAUUUCUAUCAAUUAGCAUUGCUCUCUCUCUCUCUCUCUCUCUCUCUCUCUCUGCAUGUAUGUGUGUGUGUGUGUGUGUGUGUGUGUGUGUGUGUGUGUGUGUGUAUCCAAUGUCAUGCAUCCUCAAUCACUACCCACUUACCUUUUAAGAGCUUCUCUCUCACUGAACCUGGAACUCCCUGAUUCAGCUAGGCUGGUUGGCCACAGAGUCCCAGGGAUGCUCCUGUCUCUGCUUUCUUAAGGACUGGGAUUACAGCUGGAUUUACAUUUUUUACUUUAUUUUUUACAUCGGUGUUGGGGAUCUAAACUUAGUUCUUCGUGCUUCUGGAGCAAGCAAUUUUCUGUCUAAUCCAUCUCUCUUCUCCCAGUAUAGGGCUUAUUUUUAUACCCAGCUAAAUACAGUCUCACAGUAUAAGUCACAGUGUGCUGUACUCAACUUAUUACACCCAUUCCCUUCUCCUCUCUUCGUCUACCCCUGGCUAUACUGGUAAAACAACAAAACGUCUAACUUGAGUCAGACCCUGGAGGAAAGAGCUGGAGGUCAUUCAAGUGUGAUGAUGAUAGAAGAUUAAAUUGUACCACAAAAUUGUCCUGCUUAUUGUAAAGGGAGAAAAAAAUGUACUGGGCUGGACUCAGACCUCAGCUCUGCCAUUGGCCCCUUCUCUGACAUUGGACAUAUAACUCAACUUCUUCUUAAAACCCAAAAUACUUUGUAAUGAAAUGACAUUGGUAACUAUGGAAGCAACAGUGAACAUUUAUUUAAUGUCUAUCCUGUUCCAAGUGUUGCACAAUGCUUCCCUGACCUAGUUUGGGCUUCUAGAAGGCAUAUAGUGCUGAUGUUGUUAUUUUUACUUUACAUGGAACAGGAGCCACAGAGGCGAAGCAUUGGACUAAGGUGAUAGGUGUAUCUUUAAUGGUUUCUAGAUAUAGGUUGUAUUUAAGAUAAAAAAAAAUACAAGUUUUAUUGAUCUCUAUCACCAGAAUCAUAACUAAAACAUGGAGUAAAUAAUUUUUAUGGGUGUCUAUGAGUUACAAUCAUAGACCUCCUGAAUAUUGUUGGGAUAUGGUUACUUGACGAUAUUUAACUUUUGCUCCCUACAUAGUUCACCUCUUUAAUCUUCAAGCAGGAGUUCAAAAUAGGUUGUUAGCUUCAUCCUGCAAAUGAUGAGUCUUGGAUACAGAAACAAUGAGAUGACUCACUAGCCACAUGGAGAAAAAUUAGUGGUUAAUGUAGGCCUAGGACUCAGACUUUUGGAUUCAAGAACAGUGUGUCCUCAGAGUAAUCUGGAGAUGUAGAAUCCAGAUGAAUUUAGCUUUUUCAACUGCAUCUGCAAGAACAGGAACACACCGAUUCCUUUGGUAUGAUAGGCUGAAUACCUAGCGAUACCCAGAUCCUAAUUUCUGAAGCCAUGCAUGUAUGUGUUCACGGUAACAGGCAAAAACGAUUCAGCUAGGGUCUUGAGGUGGUGAUAGUGGGAUGGUCCAGGAUUAUCUGGAGUUGGGAGAGGGGCAAGCACAGUGUCCUUAGAAGAGGGAGGCUGUGGGAAACUAGACUACAGGAAAGUAACAGGAGGUACAAAGCAGGUAGGGUGUGAAAAAAGGAGGGAUCAGGACAUGUGGGCAAGUACCAGAACUGAAAAAGACAAGGGGGAGAAACUUCCCUUGGAGUCACUGGAAGAAAGGUGUCCACCCAGUCCCUUAGGGCUUAGGUUGAUUUUGAACCUCCUUUCUUCCAGACAGGGUUUCACUCUCUGUCCCAGGCUGGCUUUGUACUCACCAUGUAGCCCAGGUUGGCCUGGAAGUUGCAGCAACCCUCCUGCUUUACCCUCUCAAAUGAUGGGGUUCUGUGGCCUGGAGUUGUGAGAGGAUAAAUUUGCUUUGAUUUAAACCACCCCAACUUGUGCUUCUUUAUUAUAUACAGCAGUCCUGAGAAACUAAUGUUCUUGAACUAGUGGUAUGGCAGGCAUGGCUUUCUGUCUGUAAUGUCAAUGUUUAAUCCCAUUGUUUAAUGGGCUAGUGAAGCUCAGAAGCUAAAAUCUGACACCAACAGCUGAAAACUAGAUUCUACUCUAACAGCAAUGGUCAUUCCUGCGGUGUACAUAUAUUAUCCCUGGGGGCUGGAGAGAUGGCUUGGUAGGUAAGAGCACUUGUUGUUCUUGCAGAGGACUUGGGUUUGGUUCUCAACACCUACACAUUGCUCACAGACACUUGCAACUCCAGUUCCAGGGGACCUGUCCCCUGUUCUUACCUCCAUGGGCACCAGGCAUGCAUAUGGUACAUAUAUAUUCAUUCAGCCAAACACUUAUACACACAGACAAAAGUAUAGCAUUCUUUCAAGUUUUCAUGGCCUGGGAGAGGCAGGUACCCAGUUUUCGAAGGAUUAGGCAUGUCUUUACCUGUAAUUGGCGUGCAAAGAGAACAUAGCAGAACCAAGAUGGAGAAUUCUUGGUUGAUAGUUUAUGCUUCACUGAUUGGCCUUGGAAGCAGGGGAUGCAAAUCGGUAGCUAUGCAUCUCAGAAGAAGGUUUUAAAAAAGAUGUUAUUUGCAUGGAUGCGAAAAUCAGGGGAUUUUGGAGAAGUUCCUCAAGAGUGGGAGCCGAUGCCAGCACUAAGUUCACAAGACAGUGAUGGGCCGACAGAGAUGUGAUACACAGGCCACGUGGCCAGGCCACUUUCAGUUGAGAUGCUACUAGUUCCUCAGAGUCUUCAUCAUUUACUUCGUUUGAGUUCGUGGCUCUGCUUUAAG